GAACACUAACAUCUUUAUAACAGGCGGCCAUGAGGAGCAGGGGCGGCAGAUUGAGAAGAACAGGGGGUGGCUUAGGAAGGGGGAGAGUGAUGGCUCCUCUCCUCUUGCAGUCAGCAAUGUCGUGGCUAAGAUCGCAUGGUCGCAGGAGAAAAUGGUGGCCAUUUUGUUACAUUUAUUUAUUUUCUUUCUGAUUGUUCACAUAUAUGUGUAACCUUAUAAAGGUUUUACGACGUGAUUUUUAUUGGAGAGAAUGUAUGUUAAUGUAUAUCUCCACAAAUAGGAUAUUCAUUUAGACACAUAUCAAGAAUAAGUCCCAGAUCUAAGUUCCUGAAUUGUGAUUCGUAGCCUGCCAUGAUUUUAAUAAGGAUUUAGCAUAUUCUACUUAUGGAAGAAUUAAAUGUAACGGUUCUACCGAUUGUUCAUAAAUAAACUAAUUUGUGGAAUGCAAUACUUCUAUGUUGAUUUAAAA